AACUUUUAACAACGGAUCACUUGGCUCUCGCAUCGAUGAAGAACGCAGCGAAAUGCGGUAAGUAAUGUGAAUUGCAGAAUUCAGUGAAUCAUCGAAUCUUUGAACGCACCUUGCGCUCCUUGGUAUUCUGAGGAGCAUGCCUGUUUGAGUGUCAUUAAAUUCUCAACCUUCCAACUUUUAUUAGCUUGGUUUGGCUUGGAUGUGGGGGUUGCGGGCUUCUAUUAAUGAAGUCGGCUCUCCUUAAAUGCAUUAGCGGAACUUUUGUUGACCAUCUAUUGGUGUGAUAUCUAUCUACACUGUGGAUGUGAAGCAGUGUUCAGCUUCUAACCGUCUAUUAUUGACUUUACUUGACCAUUUGACCUCAAAUCAGGUAGGACUACCCGCUGAACUUAAGCAUAUCAAUAAGCGGAGGCU
rnacentral:misc_RNA from 1 species